rnacentral:misc_RNA from 1 species
AAACUGCGAUAAGUAGUGUGAAUUCCAUUUAGUGAAUCAUCGAAUCUUUGAACGCACCCUGCACUCACUGGUAUUCCGGUGAGUACGCCUGUUUCAGUAUCAUUGAAAACACACAAUCAAAACAUUUUCUUUGGUUUGAUUGGCUUUGGGUCUAUCAAAAAGUUUGGCUUGUUUCUUACAAGCCAAGCGGCCUGAAAUAUAUUGUCUGGCUAAUUGCAUCGUUGAUGAUCGCUAUUAGACUUUGGCUUUUUUAAAUGAACUGGAGGUUGAUUAACCAGUUUUAGCUUUAGUCAAAUGGUCAUUGUAAAAAAAUCUCGAUCUUGGCUAGGUGUUUAUAGCCGAAAAUUUUUUUUUGGCUAUAACCGAAACCAAUAUAAUCACAUUUAGUUAUCGAUCUGAAAUCAGGUGGGACUACCCGCUGAACUUAAGC